rnacentral:tRNA from 1 species
GCCUUCGUAGUGUAAUGGUAAGCACACGCGGUGCGCAUUCAGGAGAUCCGAGGUUCAAGUCCCGUCGAGGGCA